AGAAUCUUGAAGAUCGUUUCAGUGGACUAUCUCUAAUCUUUAGCAAGAGAUUACUUGAUGCACAAGUCUGUGUCACUUUUGCAUAUUAAGGAUCCCUUGUUUAAAAGAAUUGCAGCUUCUAGAUUAGCCCGGUUUGCAAUCGAUGGUAUCGUUUUUGGCAUGUGCAUAUUAAGCUUUUUGCUUUUACGAUAUUUGGUGGAGCUCAAGAGCUGUUGAAUGUAUUGGUAUAUGCUAAAGAUGAACUCACACUGAAAGAGGCUUUGAAAGCUCUUAACGCACUCUCAAAAUCAGUUAAAGCAUUACGUAAUGCCGGGGCGAUUCGGUUAUAAUGUCUAUCCCGGACACCUUUGUCGAUGCCGAAAUUGGGACAUACAAAGCCGAGUUGCUGAAGAGAUUUUGAGAUUCGGGAUACGAAAUUUCGUCCUGAUAAGUUCUUAAGCCAUUGAUUUUUGGGGUUGGUUUUAUCUUUCUGGUAGUUGUAGAGUUCAAAAUUGCACACUCGUGGCAUUGUCUUUGUUUCCUUUUCAUAUUCACACAAGUCUCAAGUAAUAGACUUUGUGGUGUGGUUUUCUAUUUUAAUGAAAA